rnacentral:rRNA from 1 species
UACGGAGGGUGCAAGCGUUAUCCGGAUUCACUGGGUUUAAAGGGUGCGUAGGUGGGUAAGUAAGUCAGUGGUGAAAUCUCCGGGCUUAACCCGGAAACUGCCAUUGAUACUAUUUGUCUUGAAUACUGUGGAGGUCAGCGGAAUAUGUCAUGUAGCGGUGAAAAUGCUUAGAUAUGACAUAGAACACCAAUUGCGAAGGCAGCUGGCUACACAAAUAUUGACACUGAGGCACGAAAGCGUGGGGAUCAAACAGGA